rnacentral:rRNA from 1 species
GUCUACAGCCAUGCCACCCUGAACAAGCCCGAUCCCACAUGAUCUUGGAAACUUAAGCAGGGUCGGGCCUGGUUAGUACUUGGAUGGGAGACCACCUACGAAGACUAGGUGCUGUAGGAG